CAGCCACAUCACAUUGAAACACUGGUUCCUGUAUGAUCACCAAUGUUAAGCACCAUCAUGCCUAGUCAGUACCUAGUCAGAUGGGUGACUACUUGGGAAUACCAGGUGCUGUAA